rnacentral:rRNA from 1 species
AUUGAACGCUGGCGGCAGGCCUAACACAUGCAAGUCGAGCGGAUGAGUGGAGCUUGUUCCCUGAUUCAGCGGCGGACGGGCGAGUAAUGCCUAGGAAUCUGCCUGGCAGUGGGGGACAACGUUUCGAAAGGAAAGCUAAUAUAGCAUACGUCCUACGGGAGAAAGUGGGGGAUCAUCGGACAUAAAGCUAUUUGAUGAGACUUGGACGUAUUAGCUAGUUGGUGAGGUAAAGGCUCACCAAGGCGACGAUCCGUAACUGGUCUGAGAGGAUGAUCAGUCACACUGGAACUGAGACACGGUCCAGACUCCUACGGGAGGCAGCAGUGGGGAAUAUUGCGCAAAGGGCGAAAGCCUGACCCAGCCAUGCCGCGUGAGUGAAGAAGGUCUUCGGAUUGUAAAGCACUUUUAGUUGGGAGGAAGGACAGUAAAUUAAUAUCUUCCUGUUUUGACGUUACCAACAGAGUAAGCACCGGCUAACUUCGUG